rnacentral:rRNA from 1 species
AUUGAACGCUGGCGGCAGGCCUAACACAUGCAAGUCGAACGGCAACAGGAUGAAGCUUGCCUCUUUGCUGACGAGAGGCGGACGGGUGAGUAGUGUCCGGGAAACUGCCCGAUGGCGGGGGAUAACUACUGGAAACGGUAGCUAAUACCGCAUAACGUCGCAAGACCAAAGAGGGGGACCUCCGGGCCCCUUGCGCUAGGAAGUGCGCAGAUGGGAUUAGCUAGUAGGUGGGGUAAAGGCUCACCCAGGCGACGAUCCGUAGCUGGUCUGAGAGGAUGACCAGCCACACUGGAACUGAGACACGGUCCAGACUCCUACGGGAGGCAGCAGUGGGGAAUAUUGCACAAUGGGCGCAAGCCUGAUGCAGCCAUGCCGCGUGUAUGAAGAAGGCCUUCGGGUUGUAAAGUACUUUUGGCGGGAAGGAAGGGAGUAAAGUUAAUACCUUGGCUCAUUGACGGUACCCGAAGAAGAAGCACCGGCUAACUCCGUG